GCCCAGAUAGCUCAGUCGGUAGAGCAGCGCCCUGAAAAGGCGCGUGUCGCUGGUUCGAUUCCGGCUCUGGGCACCA
rnacentral:tRNA from 1 species